rnacentral:rRNA from 1 species
UGCCACAGUCGAAUCACUCUGCAGCUGAAGACCAAUUACUCACUGAAGCUAAGCAGAGCUGAGCCUGGUCAGUACCUGGAUGGGAGACCACAUGGGAACACUAGGUUACUGUUAGAA